UAUUAGUAUAAAUUACGAUUGGGGACUACGAACAAUGGUUUAAAAACCCAAGAAUUUGGCGGUGUCUUAUUCAAUCAGGGGAAUCUGUCUCGUAAUCGACAGCCCACGAAAAAUUAGCCUUUAUUCUUGAUAACUACAGCCUGUGUACUGCCGUCUAAUGGGCCCUCAAGGUUACCCAUAAUAAAUUAAUUUAAAUUUUACGUCAGGUCAAAGUGCAGCUAAUGAAGAGGAGAAGAUAGAUUACAUUCUAUAUCAUAGCUAAAAUAUACUGUAGAAAUAUAAUAAAAAGAACUUGAUAGUAGUUUCACUAAAAAAGUAAAAUGAAACUGAACCUAAGACAAGC
rnacentral:rRNA from 1 species